CCUACGGGUGGCAGCAGUGAGGAAUAUUGGUCAAUGGGCGCGAGCCUGAACCAGCCAAGUAGCGUGCAGGAUGACUGCCCUACGGGUUGUAAACUUCUUUUAUACAGGAAUAAAGUGCGUCACGUGUGCCUUUUUGUAUGUACUUUAUGAAUAAGGAUCGGCUAAUUCCGUGCCAGCAGCCGCGGUAAUACGGAGGAUCCGAGCGUUAUCCGGAUUUAUUGGGUUUAAAGGGAGCGUAGAUGGGUUGUUAAGUCAGUUGUGAAAGUUUGCGGCUCAACCGUAAAAGUGCAAUUGAUACUGGCAGGCUUGAGUACAGUUGAGGUAGGCGGAAUUCGUGGUGUAGCGGUGAAAUGCUUAGAUAUCACGAAGAACUCCGAUUGCGAAGGCAGCUUACUAAACUGCCACUGACAUUGAUGCUCGAAAGUGUGGGUAUCAAACAGGAUUAGAUACCCGUGUAGUC
rnacentral:rRNA from 1 species